GACGAACGCUGGCGGCGUGCUUAACACAUGCAAGUCGAACGAUGAAGCUGGAACUUGCUCUGGCGGAUUAGUGGCGAACGGGUGAGUAACACGUGAGAAAUCUGCCCUUGACUCUGGGAUAACUGCGGGAAACUGUAGCUAAUACCGGAUACUUUCCCUGGUGGGCAUCCACUGGGGAAGAAAGAAUUUCGGUCAAGGAUGAUCUCGCGGCCUAUCAGCUUGUUGGUGAGGUAAUGGCUCACCAAGGCGACGACGGGUAGCCGGCCGGAGAGGGGGACCGGCCACACUGGGAAUGAGACACGGCCCGGACUCCUACGGGAGGCAGCAGUGGGGAAUAUUGCACAAUGGGCGCAAGCCUGAUGCAGGAACGCCGCGUGAGGGAUGAAGGCCUUCGGGUUGUAAACCUCUUUGAGCAGGGAAGAAGCGAAAGUGACGGUACCUGCAGAAAAAGCACCGGCUAACUACGUGCCAGCCGCCGCCGUAA
rnacentral:rRNA from 1 species